AUGGCCCCCGCCCCCUCCAUGGCCUCCGCCCCCGCCGUGUCCCCCGCCGCCGCCGCCGCGGCAGUGCGCGCCCUGCAGGUGCGCCGUCACGCAGAGCAGCAUCAGGCCCAGCGCGCACAGCAUCCUCGCCUCGCCCCUCAUGGCACGUGUCGUCGAUGGUCGGUCGGGAGCGCAAGCAACCUCUCCCCUUGCCUCGUCCGCGGGUUCGCUUGCCGGUGCCGUGAUUGCGCGGCGGGUUAUAUGAGCGGGGAGGAAGGAAAGAGUCGGGAAGUUGCUCUCUGCUUUUUGCAGGUGUGGGGUGCUGUGAGGGUCCAUGGCCUGCCUGGUACAGGCAAGAUUUUUCCUUUUUUUUUUCUUUUUUCAUUUUUUCCGUGGGAAGAGGCGAGACUUUUUUUGUUUUAUUAUAGUUAG
rnacentral:rRNA from 1 species